rnacentral:rRNA from 1 species
GCCCCAGUUAUAAUCUGAGGUGUAACCUGCCCAAUGAUUCUAAAUUAAAAAAUGUAAAUUAUAUUUAAUAGAAUUUAAAGGACGCGGUAACCUUGACCGUGAUAAUGUAGCAUAAUCACUCGCCAUUUAAUUGAUGGAUAGUAUGAAUGGUUAAACGAAUGUUUCACUGUCUUAAAAAGAAUAAACAAAAAUUGGAAUAAUAGUUAAGAUACUAUUUAAAAUUGUAAGACGAAAAGACCCUAUAGAGCUUAACUAUAUUCUACCUAAAAAACAGGUAGGAUGGUAGUUUAGUUGGGGCGACUAUCUUCUAAAAUAAACGAAGACAAUUAAAUAAAUAAGAAUAUUACUGUAUAACACAUAAGUUUAACAGUCAUAAAAAUGGAAUAUAUAGACCCGUUAAUAUUAAAUAAAAAAAUUUAACGAUUAAUAAAUAAAAGCUACCUUAGGGAUAACAGGAUAAUUUUAUUUAAGAGAUCUUAUCGAAAAUAAAGUUUGUCACCUCUAUGUUGAAUUAAGAUAUCCUGAUGAUGCAGAAGUCAUCAAAGGUAGGUCUGUUCGACCUUUAAAAUCUU